rnacentral:rRNA from 1 species
GAAGAAAGAGUGAGGCGUGCUUAACACAUGCAAGUCGAACGGAAAGGCCCUGCUUUUGUGGGGUGCUCGAGUGGCGAACGGGUGAGUAACACGUGAGUAACCUGCCCUUGACUUUGGGAUAACUUCAGGAAACUGGGGCUAAUACCGGAUAGGAGCUCCUGCUGCAUGGUGGGGGUUGGAAAGUUUCGGCGGUUGGGGAUGGACUCGCGGCUUAUCAGCUUGUUGGUGGGGCAGUGGCUUACCAAGGCUUUGACGGGUAGCCGGCCUGAGAGGGUGACCGGCCACAUUGGGACUGAGAUACGGCCCAGACUCCUACGGGAGGCAGCAGUGGGGAAUAUUGCACAAUGGGCGGAAGCCUGAUGCAGCAACGCCGCGUGCGGGAUGACGGCCUUCGGGUUGUAAACCGCUUUCGCCUGUGACGAAGCGUGAGUGACGGUAAUGGGUAAAGAAGCACCGGCUAACUACGUG